rnacentral:misc_RNA from 1 species
GAUGAAGAACGUAGCGAAAUGCGAUAAUUAAUGUGAAUUGCAGAAUUCAGUGAAUCAUCGAGUCUUUGAACGCACAUUGCGCCCCCUGGUAUUCCGGGGGGCAUGCCUGUCCGAGCGUCAUUGCUGCCCUCAAGCACGGCUUGUGUGUUGGGCUUCCGUCCCUGGCAACGGGGACGGGCCCAAAAGGCAGUGACGGCACCAUGUCUGGUCCUCGAGCGUAUGGGGCUUUGUCACCCGCUCCCGUAGGUCCAGCUGGCAGCUAGCCUCGCAACCAAUCUUUUUAACCAGGUUGACCUCGGAUCAGGUAGGGAUACCCGCUGAACUUAAGCAUAUCAAUAAGCGGAGGA